UACAGAGGUCUCAAGCGUUGUUCGGAUUCAUUUGGCGUAAAGGGUGCGUAGGCGGCGCGGUAAGUCGGGUGUGAAAUCUCGGAGCUUAACUCCGAAACUGCAUUCGAUACUGCCGUGCUUGAGGACUGGAGAGGAGACUGGAAUUUACGGUGUAGCGGUGAAAUGCGUAGAUAUCGUAAGGAAGACCAGUGGCGAAGGCGGGUCUCUGGACAGUUCCUGACGCUGAGGCACGAAGGUCAGGGGAGCAAACGGG
rnacentral:rRNA from 1 species